rnacentral:lncRNA from 1 species
AACUCGAUCAGAUGGCCAGAAAGUUGGGACGCAUUAGGGAUGCGGGAUGGAGAAGUUUAACAUAAAAAGGAGUCCUAAUAUGUGAGGAAUCAAGAGAAGGGUCAUAUUUAUGACUUUGGGGGGGCUAUGAAGGCUAUAAAAAAGGGUCCAUAGAGUAGAGAAAAAUAGAAUAGAAAAUUGAGAGAAAAUUAUGGAGUAAAAGAGAGAGAAA